rnacentral:rRNA from 1 species
UUGGAGUGCAAGUCUGGUGCCAGCAGCCGCGGUAAUUCCAGCUCCAAUAGCGUAUAUUAAAGCUGUUGCAGUUAAAAAGCUCGUAGUUGAAUUUCGGGAUUCGUCCAUUGGUCAGGCUUAACUGUCUGUACUGGUGUGUCGGAUUUCUACCUUCUGAAGAACCUUUAUGCCAUUAAUUUGGUGUGUUGGGGAAUCAGGACUGUUACUUUGAAAAAAUUAGAGUGUUUAAAGCAGGCUAACGUCUGAAUACAUUAGCAUGGAAUAAUGAAAUAGGACGGUACGGUUCUAUUUUGUCGGUUUCUAGGAUCGCCGUAAUGAUUAAUAGGGAUAGUUGGGGGCAUUAGUAUUCAAUUGUCAGAGGUGAAAUUCUUGGAUUUAUUGAAGACUAACUACUGCGAAAGCAUUUGCCAAGGAUGUUUCCAUUAAUCAAGAACGAAAGUUAGGGGAUCGAAGACGAUCAGAUACCGUCGUAGUCUUAACCAUAAACUAUGCCGACUAGGGAUUGGACGAUGUUAAUUUUUUAAUGACUCA